rnacentral:rRNA from 1 species
UACGGGGGGGGGUAAGCGUUGUUCGGAAUUACUGGGCGUAAAGGGCUCGUAGGCGGCCAACUAAGUCAUACGUGAAAUCCCUCAGCUUAACUGGGGAACUGCGUGUGAUACUGGAUGGCUUGGAUUUGGGAGAGGGAUGCGGAAUUCCAGGUGUAGCGGUGAAAUGCGUAGAUAUCUGGAGGAACACCGGUGGCGAAGGCGGCUACCUGGACGGGGUACUGACGCUGAGGCGCGAAAGCUAGGGGAGCAAACAGG